UACAGAGGCCUCGAGCGUUAGGCGGAAUCACUGGGCUUAAAGCGUGUGUAGGCGGAUGCCUAAGUACCUUGUGAAAUCCCACGGCUCACCCGUGGAACGGCUCGGUAUACAGGGCGUCUUGAGCCACCUAGGGGCUACCGGAACAAAUGGUGGAGCGGUGAAAUGCGUAGAUAUCAUUUGGAACGCCAACGGAGAAAUCAGGUAGCUGGGGGUGUGCUGACGCUGAGACACGAAAGCCAGGGGAGCGAACGGG
rnacentral:rRNA from 1 species